ensembl:lncRNA
GGGGGGGUGAAGUGAUCAGACCUGAGGGGAAAGCCUCUGAUGGGUGGGGGGGGGGCCGUGGGGCCUCAGGUGGAGGACUCUUGCCUCGGGGGUCUCCAUGUGUCGGCCCCCGGAUACUGACAGAUGUCUCUCUCUCUCCCUCUGUGAAGAAACAGAAACAAUUCACCGCUAAUCAGCAGAUGAUACUGCAGCAGCAGGGGGGGGGAUGUAAGGAUGUAAGGGCGAAGAGCAAGGAGGGGAUGGGGUUGGGGGGGGGCUUACUUUCCCUGUAGAUAUGCGAUGUCUGUGUCUUGACGUGGCAACAUAUUGCGCUGUUUUCAUUCACUCCUCUCUCCUCCUUCCAAGACACGGUGACCGUGAUGAGCACGAAUACAUGCUGACGAUCACAUUCCCUCCUGUGUGUGUGUGUGUUUGUUUGUGUGUCCAUCGGCCGUAAAUCCAUCUGUGCCGAGGCGGUUGUUGUCCGACCGGUGUCUGGAUCUGUUUCUCACCCACGCGACGCGUUCUUCAGCCACGGCAAUGCGGCCGCUGUAUUUUUUUUUCCGUGCACGUGUUUGCGAUGAUGCUACGUGGUGUUUUGUGCGCCCGCCCUCGCCAGUGUCUGCCUGCGGCGACGUGGUAUCCUCCAGGGGUCGUUCAUCCUCAGAUCGGGCCUGUAAAUCACAGUGAUUGAUCAGCCUCCUGCCCCCUCCCCUCCUCAUUCCAAUCUGAUUCCUGCCCCCCUCCCCUCCUCCAACACUCCCCCGUCCGAGGGCCCGCCGGUGAUCAAUCACUCCUUCAGUCGGACAGGUAGGUGUGACAUCACCGUCAUCCAACACUCCGCCUUAAAGAAGCACACUGAGGAUCUGCGAUCAGCUAAGUGAGGACAACAGGAAAGGAAAAUGAAAGAGAAAGAAUGCACCCCCCCCCCCCCCCCCCCCCCAAAGUAAUCCUAUUGACUUGCAUUCACUUGGUGACAAUAAAGAAGGUGGAGUGGAGACGACUCCAUGGCUCAUGAAAAGAAAUGAGCCAAUUUGCAUACUUGAUAUUCUCACUAAAGCUCUACCUCGGCACAGCACGGGCUCAAGGAAAGGCCAACGUGACCCUGAACACUGCGUGCACGGCUAGGGGUCCCCCGAAGAGAGGAGUGGGGAUUACCGGUUCAUUCCCACCGCGCUCGACUGUGUUGUUAACUGCUUCAUGUGCAGAGUACACUCCUCCUUAGGUCGGGGGUCGGGGGUCAUCCCACUUGAGACAAACCGUCCGAAAAGAGGAUUUACAGCUGAAGGAGGAACGUUUCCCAGAAUAUCUGCAGCACACUUGAGCGACUCCUCCCACCACAGCGGGAACAUUGACUUGUGCUGCUCCCUGCUGGACAGGCUGCAAAACCCAAAUACAUGUUCGUUCCUGAAAUGUAGGACAAUAUGUCCCUUUUAAAUAUGAUAAUAUUUUUUGGUGCAGCACAUUUUUAUGACUUCUUUUAAAAAGAAAACACACACGCCUGACUACCGACAUGCAACUCACCUAGAAGUGAUACAUUGGACCUGCUUUGUAAAGAUAAAGUCAGGAAAUGUCCACAUGAGCUAAUAGCUGCAGCUAUACAAAACACCUCUCAGGGUCAACUCCAACAGAAAAUAAACUUGUGUGUGAUACCUCAUAAUAGCAUUGACUGUGCGUAAAUAAUGCAAAAUGCAUUAAAGCUUUAAUGUACACAUUGUUGUUUUGGAUUCAAAAACACAAAUGGAGUAGAAACAGAAUGUGAUAUUUCUAGAAAUGCAUCUUGAUGCAGAGCGGUUGUCUGUAUCUCUACAAAUGAUCCAGCAGGUGGCAGCAAAGCUACAAAGAUAAAGUGUCAGGGACCAAAGGGAAACUUCACAGUCCCCCAACAAUGGACAUAGUCGGUGAGGCAAAAUUAUCUGCAGAGGUUUAAGGAUUGAAAUGCUCGCAGGCGCCUAUAGGUGCUAUUGUGAAAAAUUCUCACAGAUUACCAGGAAAAGAAUUUCCACGUGUUGCACAACAUUCUUGUUGCUGGACAUAUUUGUCCAAUCUCGAACCAUAGCUUGCGGCUUCAGGCCGGCGCUGCGAGCUCUCACUUUCAGAGUCUCUGAGAGGUGGAGCUGUGAAACAAACAGUUAUGAAGUGGCCCUUCCCGCCCUUCACAUUGUUCUUAUCAAUCCGCAUGCAGCCCGCGGCACCGACGUACAGGGCAUACAACCCUGUUGAAGGUUGACCACUGCUGACAGUUUUAUCGGCUUUGUUGACUCCAUUACACCGACCCGUGACUGAUGUGCCACAUGAUGCGCUCUCCAGAGGUCAGAGGGCGCAGGAAACAUUAACGAGAACAGCAGGUCAUAAAGAUAAGGGAUACCGAUGAAAGGUGAUGGUUUCAGUUCAUUUGGCCGUUUUUUUUAAUCCAAAUGGAGGGAAAUGUACACAACUACGUGAAUCAGGAAUCAGGAAACAUUUAUUGCCAAAAUAUGUCAGACAUACAAGGAAUUUGUCUUGGUGGUUGGUGCGUGACAGUAGACUCGUCACUUUGCCGUCACUCGUCACUUUGUUACUUGUUCGUUUGUUACUUGUUUGUUACUUGUUCGCUUAAUAUUUUUUAAAUUUGUUAAUAUUUUAAAUUUUUAACUCUAACUUUAUUUUCUUGUUUUAUACUAACCCAUAACCUUAUUCUACUUACUCAUUGCAUUAGCAUUUCAUUUUACUUUAAUUUAUUACUUGUGCACUGCUGUCUUGUUGUCUAUUGUUACACUGUCUACUGUCACGCACCAACUGCCAAGACAAAUUCCUUGUAUGUCUGACAAAUUUUGGCAAUAAAUGUUUCCCGAUUCCUGGAAACCUGUGUUUGCCACAUAUCUUGCUUUCUAAGAUAAAGCGAGGAAAACAACAUGAGUAAUCUUCAUAGGGAACCAGUGGGAUGAUGGUUGGUCAAAAAAAAAUAUUCAAAAAAAUAAUGAAGAAAUAUUCACGAAAAUAUUCACGAAAAUAUUCACAAAAAAUAUUCACGAAAAGAUUCACAAAAAAUAUUCAUGAAGAUAUUCAAGAAAUAUUCAAAAAAUAAUGAAAAAAUAAUCACGAAAAUAUUCAAGAAAUAUUCAAAGGAGUGAUUGAUUACAAAGGUUAUUAUAUGUGAUAAGUGGGAAAGGAAACAUGUGUUUGCCACAUAACUUGCUUUCUACAAUUUUGCCAGGAAAACCAAAGGAGUGAUCUUUAUAGGGAACCAGUGGGAUGAUGGUUGGUCAAAAAAAUAUUCAAAAAAAUAUUCAGGAAAAUAUUCAAAAAAAUAAUGAAAAAAUAGUCACGAAAAUAUUCACAAAAAUAUUCAUGAAAAUAUUCAAGAAAUAUUCAAAGGAAUGAUUGAUUACAAAGAUUAUUAUAUGUAAUUAUAAGGGGGGAAGGAAACCUGUGCUUGCCACAUAUCUUGCUUUCUACCAUUUUGCUAGGAAAACAAAAGGAGUGAUCUUUAUAAGGAACCAGUGGGAUGAUGGUUGGUCAAAAAAAAUAUUCAAAAAAAUAUUCAAAAAAAUAUUCAAGAAAAUAUUCAUGAAAAUAUUCAUGAAAAUAUUCAAGAAAUAUUCAAAGGAAUGAUUGAUUACAAAGGUUAUUAUAUGUGAUAAGUGGGGAAGGAAACCUGUGUUUGCCACAUAUCUUGCUUUCUACAAUUUUGCCAGGAAAACAAAAGGAGUGAUCUUCAUAGGGAAGUAUUGGGAUGAUGGUUGGUCAAAAACAAUAUUCAAGAAAAUAUUCAAGAAAAUAUUCACGAAAAUAUUCAUGAAAAUAUUCAUGAAAAUAUUCAAGAAAUUUUCAAAGGAAUGAUUGAUUACAAAGAUUAUUAUAUGUGAUAAGGGGGGAAGGAAACCUGUGUUUGCCACAUAUCUUGC